rnacentral:pre_miRNA from 1 species
AAUGAAAUUGCUGGGUCAUAUGGUAAAUUUAACUUUUUAAGAAACUGUCAAACAAUUUUCCAAAAUCAUUGUACCAUUUUACAUUCCCACCAGAAAU